ACGCAACCUCUUCCUCUUCUCCGCAUCUUCCUUCACGGGCCAAUGCGGCUGCAGGGGCGAGGGGAUGGGGGCCAGCCGGUUUCUUCGCUGGAUCUGGACUUCUCCUCCUCUUCCUUCGGGCCCUCGCGGCUGCAGGGCGAGAGGAUGGGGGCCAGCCGAUUUCUUCGCCGGAUCUGGAGCAGGGACAAGAGGAGAAGGAAGUUGGCCAUGGAUACAUGAGGAGAGCGGGGAAGGAAGCCAGAGUGGAUCAGUGACGGUUGGAUCCCCGAAGAAAAAAUAACAGUGGGAUACAGGACGAAGAUAAGCGGCGGCGACGGGCGAGGCAGCAGGAGGCGAUGGCGACAAGUAAAUCAGUCGCCUAUGGAUAAAAGAUCAUGUCUGUCGCCAGAGACCUCAUUGGCACAUCUCAAGAGGAUGCUAUUAUCUGCAUCAGCGAGGACGACGGUGAGCUGGCAGCCCACACCAAGCAACCUACACGCUCUGCACAUGUUAUAUGCUAAUAAAUGGUACCCCUACUUCACUAUACAGCAUUCUCCUAUCCAUAUUGGCCCAAGAUUGUAGAAUUAUUUAGCUUCAUAUUUUGCGUCUCAUGAAAGAACACAAUUAGGUUAUGGAAUCAUUUUUUUCCUACUUCUAAAAAGAUUUUGUUUGAUUGGAUGCUAAUAAUAUGUUUCUAAAUAGAAUCUCGUUGUUGUUCAUUAUAUAUGUAGGUUCAUUUAAACAAGAUAAUGGUCAUUUUUCCCUCUCUCUAGAUCCAGGGAAAAUUGUAUAUUCUGUGAAGAACUAUUGAUGCAUAUUUGGCAGCUUUUGAAUCCUAUGAACAACUUGAUGGUUCAAUAUGUUUCAGUUUCGUAUAAUUUCUGCAGAACCCUAUUUAUCAUUCUGACAUUUUAUAUAUAUUAUACUUAUCUUAUACUUAUCCAUGUCAGCAUUUUAGUGGGUUUUGAACAAUUAGAUGAUUUUGCACAAGACUUUGUAUGUGCACACGGGCAUUUCGUAUGCAAGGUGCACAACUUUGUAUUUGUGUGGUAAUAAAGCAAGAGGGUCUGCUCGAUGACGGUGCAGGUGGUGUUCCUUUGUUUGGAGAAUUUAUCUGUGGUGUGAUCUGUUUUCAUUUCUGUUAGGCAAUCCGAUCAGAUCAUACCCUGUCAUAUUUAGCGCUCCUAUAUUUGCAUAUAAAUCGGGCCAUUAACAAUAUCUGAUAAAAGAAACUAUUGUGCUAUCUUUGGUCAGUACAAUAUCUAAUAAAGUUGUGAUUUCGAUCAUGUAUCACUACAGGUUGUUGUUGAGAAGUCUAAAACAUAUAAGGGGAAACCUAAGAAAAAAUUUUGAACCCCAAAGUUAACAAAGCUGAUAAUCUAUUUCUCUCAUUAUAACUAACUUGGCCAUAGAGAAAUAUUUAGGUUCCUAUGUUCUGCUUGCCAUUUGAUCCAUGGCUGGCUAGAUGUUCUGCCACUGUCACUCCAGAGCAGUUCUCCUCCAUGACAAGUUCAGUCUAUCCUAGAUCUGGGUCCUCUCUGGUUCCUUCGACAAUGACCUCAACACCAUCGAAGCCAGGCCGCAGUGUUGAACCUGGGAUGAAUGAUUGUUUCUUAUAGGCUGGUGUUUUCAAAAGCGCAAAGGCACCACAAACUAUGUCAACAAAAAGGCACAGAGAUCCUAGAGACACAUGAAAUAAGAGUACACCUGAUUCAGAUGGCGAGAAUGG